CUCGCGGGCCAAGGAUGCUGACGCAGGCCUGAGUCCGGAAAAGACCCGCACAUCUGGGGCCCAAGUGGCCCAUUUCCCCAGAGGCGAGCAAGGACUCUCAGGAAUCGUCAUCCUUCCCAUGAAAUCCUGGAAACUGCUUAACUCCUUUAAGGAUCUUUCCAAAGGUCUUCAAUUUUGAUAUAAGCAACAAAGAAUAAGAGGGCUAUUAGAUCAGAAAUAUUCCAUGAAGAAGGGAGCAAAGAUUCAUGUCACUGAC
rnacentral:lncRNA from 1 species